rnacentral:lncRNA from 1 species
UUUUUUUUAAUGGAGAUGGAGUCUCACUAUGUUGUCCAGGCUGGUCUCGAGCUCCUGGCCUUAAGCAAUCACCUCGCUUCAGCCUCCCAAAGUGCUGGGAUCAAGGGUUUGAGCCACCAUAUGCCUGGACUUAAAAAAAACAACAACUCAUCAAAUAUUGAGGGCCUGUUUUGGCCAGACACUGUUUUAGAUGUUGGAGAUUCAGCAGUGAAUCAAUCAGAAUUCUUGCCCUCUUGGAUCAGGCUUUCUUUCACUCAGCAAUAUGCAGCUAAGGUUUUUCCACAAUUUCUCCUGGCCUGAUAGUGUGUUUCUUUUUGGUGUGGAAUAACAUUUCAUUGUGCGGUUCCAGCACACAGUUUGCUUAUCCAUUCACCUAUUAAAGGAUGUCUUAGCUGGGCACAGUGGCUCAUGCCUGUAAUCCCAGCACUUUGGGAGGCCGAGGUGGGCAGAUCACGAGGUUAGGAGUUCGAGACCAGCCUGGCCAACAUAGUGAAACCCCCGUCUCUACUAAAAAUACAAAAAAUUAGCUGGACGUGGUGGUAGGCGCCUGUAAUCCCAGCUACUUAGGAGGCUAAGGCAGGAGAAUUGAUUGAACCUGGGAGGCGGAGGUUGCAGUGAGCUGAGAUCAUGCCAUUGUACUCCAGCACAGGUGACAGUGCGAGACUCCGUCUCAAAAAACCCAAAAAAACAGGACAUCUUAGUUGCUUCCAAGCUUUAGCAUUUAUGAAUAAAGUUGCCAUAAGCCUUCAUGUGCAGGUUUUUGCAUGGAUAUAAAUCUCCAUCAUUUUAUUUUAUUUUAUUUUAUUUUUAAAUGAGACGGGGUGUGCCCAGGCUGGUCUUGAACUCCUGACCUCAAGCAAUCCACCCACCUUGGCCUUCCAAAGUGCUGAGAUUACAGGCAUGAGCCACUAUGGCCGGCCUUCAUUUUAUUUUUUAAAACUUAAUAGAGCUAAAGGGCUGAGGAAAUAAUGAGAAGCCAACCACUGAUGGAGGAUUCUGGAGGAAGUUCUGAUAGGCUGCAAGCCCCAAAGAUAGGGGCACCUUGGCAACAGUUCCUUUUUUUCUUUGUUCUUUCAGAUUUACUCAGCAAAUGACUCAAACACCAGUAAACUAAAAUAAAAAAAAAAAAGAAAGAAAGAAAGAGAGGAUUCACUGUCCAGUAACUUUCAAUAGCUGAUUUCUUACCCAUUUUGACUUUCUUCUGUUGCUCUUCUCAGGGGAGUCAAACAUCAAGAGGCUACAGGGCGCCGGGUGCGGUGGCUCACGUCUGUAAUGCCGGCACUUCAGGAGGUCGAGGCGGGCGGAUCAUCUGACGUCAGGAGUUUGAGACCAGCCUGGCCAACGUGGUGAAACCCUGUCUCUACUAAUAAUAAAAAACUAGCUGGGUGAGGUGGCUCAUGCCUGUAAUCCCAGCACUUUGGGAGGCCGAGGCAGGCAGAUCACUUGAGGUUAGGAGUUUGAAACCAGCCUUGCCAACAUGGUGAAACCCCGUCUCUACUAAAACUAUAAAAAUUAUCUGGGCGUGGUGGCACCUGCCUGUAAUCCCAGCUACUCUGGAGGCUGAGGCAGGAGAAUGGCUUGAAUCCGGGAGGCGGAGGUUGCUGUGAGCUGAGAUCGCGCCAUUGCACUCCAGCCUAGGCAACAGGAGCGAAACUCCGUUGUUUCGCUACAGGAAAUUCCAAAAAGAGGCUACAGGAAAUGUCAAUACCAGGCCAGAGAAGAAGGGUUCCCAAGUUUGCUGGAGGGUCUCAAGGCUUCCAGCUUUGUGGUUUUCGGCAUUUGGUUCUCUUUGACCAGAUCAUCAACUGUUGUGGGUGACCACGCCUCCUCACUCAUCACCUGUUUCUGAGCUUCUGUGAGAAAGAAUUUUCUGGCUGGGCGCGGUGGCUCACUCCUGUAAUCCCAGCACUUUGGGAGGCCGAGGUGGGUGGAUCAACUGAGGUCAGGAGUUCAAGACCAGCCUGGCCAACAUGGUGAAACCCCUUCUCUACUAAAUAUACAACAAAAAUUAGCCAGGCGUGGUGGAAGGUGCCUAUAAUCCCAGCUACUCGGGAGGCUGAGGCAGGAGAAUCGCUUGAACCUGGGAGGCAGAGGUUGCAGUGAGCCAAGAUCACGCCACUGCACUCGAGCCUGGGCAACAAGAGCGAAAAUCUGUCUCAAAAAAUAAAAUAAAAGGAAUUUUUGCUGUGUCUGUGGGAAGCCCAUCUUCACCCUGCCUGCCAUCAAAUGCACACAGAGAACAGAGUGCAGCCCUGUCGUGAAGGUAGAGGUGUCUGUGUGUGGAAGGGUUGACAUGUCCCACAUCCACCGCAAACCAUGUCUUCUUUUAUUUUUUAUUUUUUGAGACAGAGUCUCGCUCUGUAGCCCAGGCUGGAAUGUAGUGGCAGCGGUUUUGGCUCACUGCAACCUCUGUCUCCAAAGUUUCAGCAGUUCUCCUGCCUCAGCCUCCUGAGUAGCUGGGAUUACAGGCACGCGCCACCACACCCAGCUAAUUUUUUAUUAUUAGUAGAGACAGAGUUUCACCAUGUUGGCAAGGCUGGUCUCGAACUCCUAACCUCAGGUGAUCUGCCUUCCUCGGCCUCCCAAAGUGCUGGGAUUCCAGGCGUGAACCACCGCGCCUAGCCACAGACCACGUCUUCUUCCGUGACAAUUUACGGUUCCUGACUCAAGGAUGACUACCUCUCCCAGCACUUUGGAAGGCUGAGGCAGGAGGAUUACUUGAGCCCAGGAGUUCAAGACCAGCCUGGGCAACAAUAGUGAGACUUUGUUUCUACCAAAAAAAAAAAAAAAAAAAAACCGCUGGAUGUGUGGCACGCGCCUGUAGUCCUAGCUCCUUGGGAGGCUGAGGUGGAAGGUUCUCUUGAGCCUGGGAGGUCAAGGCUACAGUGAGCCAAAAUCAUGCCACUGCACUCCAGCCUGGGAGUGCAGGACCCCGUCUCAAAAACAAAAAAUGGGCCGGGCGAGGUGGCUCACGCCUGUAAUCCCGGCACUUUGGGAGGCCGAGGCAGGAGGAUCAUGAGGUCAGGAGAUCAAGACCAUCCUGGCUAACAUGGUGAAACCCCGUCUCUACUAAAAAUACAAAAAAUUAGCUGGGCGUGGUGGAGGGCACCUGUAGUCCCAGCUACUUGGGAGGCUGAGGCAGGAGAAUGGUGUGAACCCGGGAGGUGGAGCUUGCAGUGAGCUGAGAUCGCACCGCUGCACUCCAGCCUGGAUGACAGAGUGAGACUCCAUCUGAAAAAAAAAAAAAAAAAAAAAGUUGACUACUUUUGGGAGCUCCAAAUCUAAGAAGCAGGCUAUGAGAAAAUGGGCCUAAAGCCUCCUCAAAUCCAUAGCAAAUCAGGCAGGGUGGUCAUGUCAUUACUCCCAAGACAGAAACAGAUUUUCUCCUGUCCCAGUAUUGAUACAUUUCUUUCCACUGGGCUUUUCCUGUAUUUAAGUGAUGUGUUUUUGUUUUUAACACAAUUAUAAUCCUACUGUACAUGUAAGAUUAUGCGCUUUCAUUUAACAUUGUACUAUGAUGAUGUUUUCCAUGUUUUUUAAGUUUUUCAUAAAGUAUAACUUUUGUUGGUUGUAUCACAAUCUUUUUUUUCUUUUUUGAGAUGAGAUCCUCCUCUGUUGCCCAGUGGCAGUGCAGUGGCAUGAUCACGAUUUAUUGCAGCCUUGACGGCCCAGACUCAUGCAAUUCUCCCACCUCAGCUUCCUGAAUAACUGGGACCACAGGUGUGUACCACCAUGCCUGGCUAAUUUUUAUUUUAUUAUUUGUAGAGAUGAGGUUUUCCUAUGUUGUCCAGGUUGGUCUCCAACUCCUGGGAUCAAGCAAUCCUCCCGUCUCAGCCUUCCAAACUGCUUGGAUUAC